AGAGUUUGAUCCUGGCUCGAGGAUGAACGCUGGCGGCGUGCUUAACACAUGCAAGUCGAACGAUGAAAGCGGGAGCUUGCUCCUGCUGGAUUAGUGGCGAACGGGUGAGUAACACGUGAGUAACCUGCCCUUGACUCUGGGAUAAGCGUUGGAAACGACGUCUAAUACCGGAUACGACCUUCGGAGGCAUCUCCUGGGGGUGGAAAGAAUUUCGGUCAAGGAUGGACUCGCGGCCUAUCAGCUAGUUGGUGAGGUAAUGGCUCACCAAGGCGACGACGGGUAGCCGGCCUGAGAGGGUGACCGGCCACACUGGGACUGAGACACGGCCCAGACUCCUACGGGAGGCAGCAGUGGGGAAUAUUGCACAAUGGGCGCAAGCCUGAUGCAGCAACGCCGCGUGAGGGACGACGGCCUUCGGGUUGUAAACCUCUUUUAGUAGGGAAGAAGCGAAAGUGACGGUACCUGCAGAAAAAGCACCGGCUAACUACGUG
rnacentral:rRNA from 1 species